AGAGCGAACGCUGGCGGCAUGCUUAACACAUGCAAGUCGCACGGGCAGGGGCAACCCUGUCAGUGGCGGACGGGUGAGUAACGCGUAGGUAUCUAUCCUUGGGUGGGGGACAACCGUGGGAAACUACGGCUAAUACCGCAUGAUGACUGAGGUCCAAAGCCCGCGAGGGUGCCUGGGGAGGAGCCUGCGUACGAUUAGCUAGUUGGUGGGGUAAAGGCCUACCAAGGCUGUGAUCGUUAGCUGGUCUGAGAGGAUGAUCAGCCACAUUGGGACUGAGACACGGCCCAAACUCCUACGGGAGGCAGCAGUGGGGAAUAUUGGACAAUGGGCGCAAGCCUGAUCCAGCAAUGCCGCGUGUGUGAAGAAGGUCUUCGGAUUGUAAAGCACUUUCGACGGGACGAUGAUGACGGUACCGUAGAAGAAGCCCCGGCUAACUUCGCGCCAGCAGCCGC
rnacentral:rRNA from 1 species